rnacentral:lncRNA from 1 species
UAGUGCAAGACCUAGCUUCAUGUCAGAAAAUGAGAAAAUGCUUUCACAUUCUCCAAAUAAGUUUUGGGUAACGGGUAGCUUCUUAAACUAGAUACAAAAGGUUAUAUCACCCUCUACCUAUGUUUCUCUUCCUUUUGAGUAUAAACUCAUAUUUUUAACAGAAAAAUACUUGAACUUACUUGUAUGCUUGUGUUCAAUCUAUGCACAUCCACAUGUCCUUUAAUUCCAUAUUAAAUAUUUUAUUUUCUGAAUUUGCAUUGAUUUUGAUACAGAAUUAAGCUAAUGUACAUGUCAGUUCUUAUUAGACUUGAUCAUAUCUGAAAAAAGGAGACAUCUUUGUAACUCUUCAGAAAACCAUGGAAGAUAAAUCAUGUUCACUUAGAAUCAACCAAUGUGUCAUGUAACAAUGUCAUAUAACAUCAAAGGAUUGCUUGAUAAGGAUUAAGACUUAAAAGGAAGUAUAUUUAAAAAUUUUCAAAUUUUCUGAAAAGAAAGGGAUUGAGAAAACUAAAGCUAGUUUCCUUUACAUUCUUAAGUCUGAUAAAAUGUGGAAACAUAUUUCCAAAUAACUUAAGUUCACACUGUUACAAUCAUUUAAAUAUGUCUGUAAAAUCAUCUAAAAUUGGCAAUCACGUGUAUGUCAAAAUUUUAAUCUUCCUCUACUAAAGAAUGAACUAAAAGCCGUGUCUUUCUCUUUAUAGUCCACAAAUAUCAUUAAAAGUUUUAUUUUGAAGAAGCUUCUACAUUCUUUGAGUUUUUCUCUUUCUCUUUCUUUUUGUUUUUUUUUCCUCAGGCUCAAAUUGAAAAUGGUAAGAAUGAAAGGAGACAAUGGAAAAAAAUAAAGAAAAAAUUGGGUGUGUUGAAACAGGAAGAAAGAAUAUGAAUUCCAGAAAAUAGAAUAAGGGAGGUAAAGAGAGUGGAGAGAAUGCCAAAUGAUACUUUUAGGAAGAGGCUGAAACCAAAUUAGUGUUGCUGAAAGAAGAGAUUAAAGUAUCUUUAGUGAAAAAAUUAAUUUCUAAAGAUACAUCUUUCCCCUGAUAUCAUAAGAAAUAUCUUAUGAAAAUGUUUACUGUAUACAAAUUAAGAAACUUCCAUCAGUGUGAGGGUGGGUAUAAUUAAAUCUGAAGAGUAGAGAGUACAUGGGAAUAUUGCAGAAAACAUAAAUGGUAACUAUGCUAGAAUUGUUAAAUGGAAGUGGUUUAUUAAAACUAAAUGUGAAAGAAAUCUUCCUAGAAAGGGUAGUGGAUGAGUGCUAUAAUUAAUAUAUUCUUAAGGAUAAGCUUCCCCUGUCUUCAGUUCCCUCCUACUUGUAGGAAUUCUGUGCUGUUAAAAAGUACCAAGCAGAUGUAUUGAUAUAGUUCUCUAUCUUUUGAAUCUGUCUGUCAAAACAAUUCUUGUACAAAGAAAACACCUGUCUUCAUUCUACAUGGAUAUAGUCAAAGAAAGUAGAAUUAAUACUAAAAGUAAAACAUGAUUGUCCCAACAUGAUGUCAUUAGUUAAACUAAUUUAGCAGUAAGUGGAACCCACCUAUUACAUAGAUAUAUCUUCUUUAAAGAUGUCAUCUUUAAAAAUGGCUGCCUCGAUGCGUAGAAAUCUAUAAGAACCCCAUUCUAGCCUGAAAAUUGUAGAUGGAUAUUUUAACAAAACUUUUAUUUUAAAAAAUUCCAGGCAAUGUAUGUAUAGUUUUGUGAUUAUUGCUCCUUGAAAAACAAAAUUAUGAAGUGAAAAAGCUUUGAGUUAUUUUUCAACUCCUAACAUGCAGUAUUGUAAUGAAUGGAUUUCCUUUUAACACAUAAUAGAAUCUGACAGUGGAGGAAAUAAAUGUCAAAAUGUAUUUGUCUCUUAAGUGUCUGUAAUUAUGAUGCACCCAAUGUUUGUAACUUAAAACAAUGUUUUUAGUAGCUGAAAUGCUAAAGAAAAGUAAAGCAAAGGUUGACUACUUUUAUAAUGAGUUAGCCAGAAUAUAUACUGGACCAACUUUCUAUUAGGAAAUAGUCAUAUUUACUCUAGUUACUUCAAAAAACUUUCCUUAUAUUCUCUGAAGAAAUCUGUAUCUUGAUAAUUAAUCUAAAAAUAAUGACCAAAAACUAUCUUGAUGCAUAGAGUGCAAAUAAUUUUUUUGGGGGGCGUGAGGAGAGUGGGGAAGGGAGGGCAAAAUAAUCCUAACUAACCAAACGGAAGCAUAGAGUGAUGCUUUUAUCCUCUUUCUUCUGUGGAUUUGCUUUACCUCUUCAUAUGGUGUGUCAUGCUCCAAAUUUUACUGUAAAAUAACCCAUUGACUAAGAAGCAUAAGAAUAAAAUUGCAGCAUGGCAAUAACAAAUAUAACAGUCUAUAGGCCUUGUGGGGGGGCAUUCUGAAGAUGUUUUAUUUUGGAAGGAGAUAUUGGAGAAAAAAAGUUGUAUUUAAACUUUAAGUACAAAAACUUGAAAAUAUCUCUAAAUAUUCUUAAAGUUACUUUUCAUACUAAUUCACAUCUGUGCCAAUGAGUAUAUUUAAGCUCAUUUGCUUUUGAAGAGUGUUGUGCUUGCAAUAAUAUUUAGUCACUGUUCUCCCUAUUCUGUGCUGUCUCAUUUGAACAAAAUGUUAAUCUCGCCAACAACAUCUGAACCCUCUAUACUGUAGAAAAGGGAAUGAAGGCUUCAGAAUAUUUUGCAACACAGAACGAGUAAGCUUAGACCUUCAAAAUUUAUAUGCUUUUUUCUAUUAGAAGUUUUUCUACUAUAAGCUACCUUCACAUUUUAGAUCUAUAUUUUUUCCUCAUAAAUGAUUUGGUGGCCUCCCUUUUCCCCCCUGGCAUAACUACAAGGCCAAGUUAGAAAGUAUGUAUUAUUUAUUGCUCUGUUCUGAAUUCAGUGAUACCGAAAUAUAAUUUCUUUCCCUCUUUCAUCCUAUUGAUUUAGGCUAUCUCUAUACAAACCCAAUUAUUUUGACUGAGCUUCCUGACUAAACUAAUUGAUGAAACUGACUAGGAACUAAAUAGCAAUCAAACUAUUAAAUAGUAGCCACUCAGAUCUGGUAAAACAGUAAUAAAAACUGAUCUUGUAUAAAAAGCCUAACAUUGAAUUUUAUGGAAAAAACAACAUAGAUCCCUGAAAGGCUGAUGUGUCAUACCACCUAUCUACACUCUGUUGACUAAAUUGAAUGAACUUUUGCCAUUGUGCCUAUCAUAACAGGCAAAUGAAAUAUGUUUGGUAAUACUUGUAUAUUUUUAUCAUAGUAUAGCUUUAGAAUUUAAAACACCAUUAGAAUAUAAAUAAAUACAUGCUCUGAAUUUAUUCUUGUUCCGACAAAUGUUACUUUAUCGAAAGUGAGUUGCAAUUUAUUAUUUUUCCUUAUUGACCUUAUCAGCUGAAUUAUUUUUCUCAUUUUUUGUAAAAUAUUUUUAAAAAUUAAAAUGUAUUUCAAAGUCAAAAUCAAGACUCUCUCAAUACAGAGUACACAGUAUAAGUCAUUGCAGUGAUAAAAUGGACAACAGCAUUUAGUGUGCUUUUAAAUAUGACUAUAAUACCUUUCUUAUGCAGUCACAUCAACUUGGUUUCAGACUGCAAUUAGAUGUCCAAUUAUGGUUAAAAAAUGCAAUGGCUUGAUUAAAUAAAUGGGCCCACUCAUUUGUUGCUGAUUUCCCAUUAGGUCAUAUUCUUCUAAGUAUCAUCAAAGCAAAAGGCUAAUGCUUGAGUUGGUAAAGAUGGUGUUACUUAAUAUUGCUCAGUAACUCUGCCAGUGAUACUUGUUGAAUAAUGACGUAUUAUCUACAUUUGGGAUUUCUCAAAUAUUCCAAAGUAGUUGUAAAUAUAUAACACUUAUCAAAAGUAUCUUUUCCUCGGAAACAGUGAAAAGUAAUUUCAAUGGAUAUAUUCUUACUGUGGUGCCAUCUGUUUAAUCUUAUUUUUCUCAGAAAUAAGCUUGAACAUAAUCACACAUAUAUAGGAAGGUUUCCAUCUACACGAGACUAUUAUGACUAUGUCCUUUAUAUAAGACUUGUUGAGAAAGUUACCUUUUCAUAUGCGAUUCCUUCUAACUUUUU